GAUGAAGAACGCAGCGAAAUGCGAUACGUAAUGUGAAUUGCAGAAUUCAGUGAAUCAUCGAGUCUUUGAACGCACAUUGCGCCCCCUGGUAUUCCGGGGGGCAUGCCUGUCCGAGCGUCAUUGCUGCCCUCAAGCACGGCUUGUGUGUUGGGCCUCUGUCCUCCUCCCGGGGGACGGGCCCGAAAGGCAGCGGCGGCACCGCGUCCGGUCCUCGAGCGUAUGGGGCUUCGUCACCCGCUCUUGUAGGCCCGGCCGGCGCUUGCCGACACAUCAAUCUUUUUUCCAGGUUGACCUCGGAUCAGGUAGGGAUACCCGCUGAACUUAAGCAUAUCAAUAAGCGGAGGA
rnacentral:misc_RNA from 1 species